GAUGAACGCUGGCGGCGUGCCUAAUACAUGCAAGUCGAGCGAACAGAUGAGGAGCUUGCUCCUCUGACGUCAGCGGCGGACGGGUGAGUAACACGUGGAUAACCUACCUAUAAGACUGGGAUAACUUCGGGAAACCGGAGCUAAUACCGGAUAAUAUAUUGAACCGCAUGGUUCAAUAGUGAAAGACGGUUUUGCUGUCACUUAUAGAUGGAUCCGCGCCGCAUGAGCUAGUUGGUAAGGUAACGGCUUACCAAGGCAACGAUGCGUAACCGACCUGGGAGGGUGGUCGCCCACACUGGAACUGAGACCCGGUCCAGGCUCCUACGGGAGGCCGCAGUAGGGAAUCUUCCGCAAUGGGCGAAAGCCUGACGGAGCAACGCCGCGUGAGUGAUGAAGGUCUUCGGAUCGUAAAACUCUGUUAUUAGGGAAGAACAAAUGUGUACGUAACUAUGCACGUCUUGACGGUACCUAAUCAGAAAGCCACGGCUAACUACGUG
rnacentral:rRNA from 1 species